rnacentral:lncRNA from 1 species
UUUAGUUCUGGAGCUCUCUCUAGGGCAUCUCUGCAUCCGUGGCUGCCCAGGCAUCCUGCUACUUUGCAUCCAGGAAACCGCAGGCUCUUCCUUGGAGCUGAAAGCCCUAGUCUUCUUCAGAGGGAAAAAUACGUGUAUUGAAUCCAAAAAUGCGUUUAUCACUCUAACAAGCCCAAUAUCUUCUCUUCCAACUUCAUUCUCUGUUGAUGGUCCUUGAUUUUGUUUCACUGGAAACAUAAUUGAAGCCAAAAGAAGACAGAUCAGAUUUCUCCCUUGAGGAUGACCCAUCCAUCACAUGGCCCAGUUAUCACCUCUUACGUGGAUUCCUGCAAAGGUCUUCCUACAUCCUAGCUCCUUUGCCUUGCCUGCUAGAGUUGGUGAAUAGAUUACGGGUGAACCAUGGUUUACUUUAAGUAUGCCAGAUGGUGUGUUAGGGGACUAACCUAGUUACUAUUUCAGAACAGACUCAGGAGGAGGGUGUAGCUCACCCAGAGGUUUAGUUUUGUGAAUGAAGCAUCGUAACAGCUACUGGGGGUGUGGCUCAAAGAAGGUCCAAGAAGGAUUGAGUUGUCCUUACACACAGGAAGAGAAGAGCAGAUCUCCCUAAGGUGAGAUGAGAGAAGUGAGCAUGCAC